GAUGAACGCUGGCGGCGUGCCUAAUACAUGCAAGUCGAGCGAACAGACGAGGAGCUUGCUCCUCUGACGUUAGCGGCGGACGGGUGAGUAACACGUGGAUAACCUACCUAUAAGACUGAGAUAACUUCGGGAAACCGGAGCUAAUACCGGAUAAUAUAUUGAACCGCAUGGUUCAAUAGUGAAAGACGGUUUUGCUGUCACUUAUAGAUGGAUCCGCGCCGCAUUAGCUAGUUGGUAAGGUAACGGCUUACCAAGGCAACGAUGCGUAGCCGACCUGAGAGGGUGGUCGGCCACACUGGAACUGGGACACGGUCCAGACUCCUACGGGAGGCAGCAGUAGGGAAUCUGCCGCAAUGGGCGAAAGCCUGACGGAGCAACGCCGCGUGAGUGAUGAAGGUCUUCGGAUCGUAAAACUCUGUUAUUAGGGAAGAACAAAUGUGUAAGUAACUAUGCACGUCUUGACGGUACCUAAUCAGAAAGCCACGGCUAACUACGUG
rnacentral:rRNA from 1 species